GGGCCCGCACAAGCGGUGGAGCAUGUGGUUUAAUUCGAUGAUACGCGAGGAACCUUACCAGGGUUUAAAUGCAGAACCGACAGGGGUGGAAACACCCCCUUCUUCGGACGGACUGCAAGGUGCUGCAUGGUUGUCGUCAGCUCGUGCUGUGAAGUGUCGGGUUAAGUCCCAUAACGAGCGCAACCCCCAUUCUAGUUGCCAGCGGUUCGGCCGGGGACUCUAGAGAAACUGCCAGCGUAAGCUGUGAGGAAGGUGGGGAUGACGUCAAAUCAUCACGGCCCUUACAUCCUGGGCCACACACGUGCUACAUUGGGUAGAACAAUAAGUUGCUAAGUUGCGAAACCAAGCG
rnacentral:rRNA from 1 species